rnacentral:lncRNA from 1 species
CAGAUAUUGUACGUACUUUGUUUCACAUAUGGGUUGGCUUCUGCAUCUUGCAAAGUGAGGUUGUAAGCCCUGCCCUGCAUAGGAGGUCUGGCCUGAUUCUAAUUUCUUAGGAACUCUCUCGCGUAAUGCUGGGCACUCAGACAUAUACGAAAAGUAUUGUUGAGGCGAUAGUAAAGUCGGUCCCUAUGAUCCUUGCCACAAUGUUGGCAAGUCCUACCGCGUCCUGUUAUUGGAAUAUAAAGAGGAGCUUGAGUCAUUGGCCUAGGUCUCUUUUUCUGCUGAACAGGCAUAAUAUGUGUUGGUCU